rfam:Oribacterium sinus F0268 genomic scaffold SCAFFOLD1, whole genome shotgun sequence.
UAUAGGUGCAGGUAGAAAUACGCUGUUUACUCAUGUAAUCGAAUUAACGUUUAAGCGAACUGUAAGCUCGCCGACCAUGAGGAAGCCACCCACACCUUUGGGUGGCUUUUAUUUUAUCU